rnacentral:rRNA from 1 species
UGCCAGACUCCUACGGGAGGCAGCAGUGGGGGAUAUUGCACAAUGGGGGGAACCCUGAUGCAGCGACGCCGCGUGGGUGAAGGAGCGUUUCGGCGCGUAAAGCCCUAUCGGCAGGGAAGAAGGAGGACGGUACCUGACUAAGAAGCCCCGGCUAACUCCGUGCCAGCAGCCGCGGUAAUACGGAGGGUGCGAGCGUUAAUCGGAAUUACUGGGCGUAAAGCGCUCGUAGGCGGUAUGUCAAGUCAAGGGUGAAAUCCCCGCGCUCAACGUGGGAACUGCCUUUGAAACUGGCAAACUGGAGUGUGUGAGAGGAUAGUGGAAUUCCUAGUGUAGCGGUGAAAUGCGUAGAUAUUAGGAGGAACACCAGUGGCGAAGGCGGCUUGCUGGACAGAGACUGACGUUGAGGCUCGAAAGCGUGGGGAGCAAACAGGAUUAGAUACCCCCGUAAC